GUAGCCCGGGCCGCCGCCGCGCCUUCCCCAAGCGCAGGCUUUGUGGGUCUUUGCGAAAACGCGCGUCCAGGAAGGCGGGGAGAGGCGGCCGAACUGAGUUCUGUUAGACGCAGUCAUCGGAGGGUUUGCAGUGCACUGAGAGCUGAAGGAUGGAACUAUCUCCGCUUUUUAUGCCAGUCUCAUUAACAGCCGCCAAGACAGAUGUGGGGCCCUCAACAGCAGUCCUUCUUCUUCACAUCCAAAGAAUGGCAGAGAAAGUUAAGAGGCCGAAACGAGGAGGCACAAAAGUUAGCAUCUUUAUUUUAUAGCUUGACUGAGCGCUCUUUGAGAGCAUUGACCAUGACAUACAUCUGCUGGGGUGUCCUCAUGGCGAGGUCAGAAGCAUGGCGCCGAAUUGUAGGCUCCAUCCGUGGCCGUCCAUCUUUGGUGUUAAUACUUUCUGGGACAGUUGUUUGCCACUCUGGGACCCCUUAUGUGACAGCUCCAUUUGAACCAGCAUGAAAUGUCCCUCCCCGGCUGCAUUCUAGAACCUGGAACCUCCCAAGUAAGACCUAAGCCUGCCUUCACCUAGUGGGGUUAUCUGCUUCCCUGCCUGGACUCCUGUCCAGACCAAGAACGGCACCUUCCUCAUACGCCUUGGCUCCUGGCACCGAGUUCCUCCUGCCUGUGCUCUCAACAUAACACUAGUGUAGGGGAGCCCCAAGAGAAUUGGGUUCUCAACACCAAGCAUGGUUAUUUCUGGUGAAGUACAGACCACGCAAACCAUGUCUUUAUUUAUGCCACUGAGCCUGCAUUAGCUCCCUUACCAAGCCUGGAAUCCGACUGGCUUCUCUUGAGCAACUGACCUCCCAAUAGCCCCCGGUCACCUUCCCAUGGAUAGUGGCCAAGGAAGGCUUUUCUCAUUCUGCCGUCAUAACGGUGGCUUCUUUGUUCAGUAUAGCUGUGGGAAAUUUAUUUUCGUCUCUGUUUUUUUGCCAGGAGACUGGAUCAUAAUCUGACAAUAAAGAGAAAUUCCAACCUGAA